rnacentral:rRNA from 1 species
GAUGAACGCUGGCGGCGUGCCUAAUACAUGCAAGUCGAACGCAUAGCGAAAGGUGCUUGCACCUUUCAAGUGAGUGGCAAACGGGUGAGUAACACGUGGACAACCUGCCUCAAGGCUGGGGAUAACAUUUGGAAACAGAUGCUAAUACCGAAUAAAACUUAGUGUCGCAUGACACAAAGUUAAAAGGCGCUUCGGCGUCACCUAGAGAUGGAUCCGCGGUGCAUUAGUUAGUUGGUGGGGUAAAGGCCUACCAAGACAAUGAUGCAUAGCCGAGUUGAGAGACUGAUCGGCCACAUUGGGACUGAGACACGGCCCAAACUCCUACGGGAGGCUGCAGUAGGGAAUCUUCCACAAUGGGCGAAAGCCUGAUGGAGCAACGCCGCGUGUGUGAUGAAGGCUUUCGGGUCGUAAAGCACUGUUGUAUGGGAAGAACAGCUAGAAUAGGAAAUGAUUUUAGUUUGACGGUACCAUACCAGAAAGGGACGGCUAAAUACGUG